CGUUUAUAAUUAUUUGUGUUUCAUGGAAUGUGUUGUUUUCUUGCAUCCCAUGGGUCCACCUGUUGUUAGCCUGGUCCCUUGUGUCAACCAAAACGCUUCCUCAGCAACUCAUGACUUGUCCAGAUGUCCCCACGCUGUCUCGUCAGUUUAGUAUUCAGCCCUCUAGCUACAGUCUGUGUUUGUUGUUUUUGCUCCCAUUCUUGUCAAUUGUCACAGUUUUGGUCUGCUAUGUUCCCCUGCUAUGUUGUGGUUUAUGACUUUGAAAUUUGUUUUUCUGACUUUUGUUAAUUUGGUACUUUUGAUCAAUUGUCUUUUUGUUCUUUGAAAAUGAAUUAUUUUUGGAGAUUAUUCAUUCUCUGGCUAUUCUUCUUGCCCCACUUCUUCCCACACGUGGUCCAUCUUUUUCACUUCAAUGCCACCAAAAAAAACCAACCAAACCAAACAAACUAAAAAGAAAAUGUGUAACAGACCAGAUACAGUACAGAGUGCAAAUUGCUCUGUAGUAUUCAUGUACUGUCAUCUCUGAAAUUGCUGAUCAAAACCGCAAUGAUCUGUAUCGAGGCAGAUUUUCAUAUUCAUCUCUUGUGUAGAAUCUCUUUAGAUUGCGUUGGUUUCCCUAAUAUUUUGACUUGUUGGUUCGUAUCUAAAUACAGCGAAAUCAUAUGCAUUGUACUGUCUGACUUAUGGAAGCAAAGCUCCGUGAUUUUGGUUGACAACAGAAAAUCAGUGCAAACCAUGACUGUAUGAUUAAUGAUGUUGGGCUAAUUAUGAGCAAAACCCUCUUUUGGAAAACGUCCCACCUUACUGUAAAUGGCGGGAUUGUUCUCCCUUUUUCCAGUUGAUCUAGGAGCACAGCCAGAUGAGUUUGCAGGGAAGCUAACCUCGUAAGGUCAGUCCUUGGAAACUCUUUGGAAUUCUCCUCUUUCUGGAAUUGUUUGCUUUUUUUGAGGGGGUGGGGGAGGGUGACUAUAUUUUCCAGAGGAAUAUUUUAUCAGUGACAACAAUGGAAGAAAUGCCAAAUCAUGUAUGCAGUUUUCCUAGAAAGGAAAUAAAUCAACUAUGCUCAUGUUUGAUCAACUUCAAAUCCAAUAAUGUGCAAAACCAGCUCCACUAAUGUUUUUGUUUCAAUGUAAAUACUGUACUGUAUUUUUCGGACCAUCGGGCUCGUUGAAUUUUCUCUGCACCUUGUGAUGUGAUGUAUGGGUCACCAUCAACUACUUCCUGCUUCCGCAUAUGGAUGAGAUUCAUCAAGAACCUGUGAAUGAAGACGUUUGUCUAAAUAUUUUUGUAUUUUUGUUAGAAUGAUUUCAGGUAACAUUGUAACCUCGUGGUCAGUGUUGAGGUUUGGGGCGUUGGAAGCCCCCUAUCCUGCCAACGGCCUCUCGGCCUCUGAAGUGGGAUCGGCUCCAAGAAGCCGAGUUCAUAAUGAGGACAAAUGCGAUGGAAAUGUGGAUGGAUUGAAAUACUUGAAUGUCAGAAUAUGGUUUCCUCUCUCCAAUCCAAAAGGGGCACAACCAUACCAUCGGAGUUUAGGGUGUCAGUCAAUUUACAUUUCACCACUGACUUAUGGUCCCAAAUAUUGGCUGGUGACUGCAAGAAUGUGGCUGAAGAGGCAUACUAAGAGCUUCUUCCGUCAUGUGGCCGCUCUCCCGGAGCACAAUACCGGUGAAGAGCCACGGACCUCCGCGUUGAGCAUUGAUGCAUCUUGUAGCUGGGACUAAAUCCAAGUCAAUCGUUCCCGUGGUGCCGUCUGAAACUACAGUGUUUGGAGAGAGAGAGAAAGAGGGAGAGAGAGUGGCCCUUCUUUGGAACUCAAAUGAAGGGAGCUAAAAGCUGACUGGGCUCCAACCGGUUUCCAAGGAACACGGUGAAGCUCGGACAUCGCGUCUCGACUAAGAAUGCCAAGACGGCACGAAACGAAGGUCCAGCUGCCGUUGGAUCUCCAGGAGCUGCUUCUCCUGCAUCCUCCUCUCCUUGAUGUCCUGCAGGACCUUCUCUCCUGGCUGAGGGUCCCCAUCAUGCCUCAGGUGAAUGUCCGAGGCACGUUCCUGAUAGACAAUAGACACGCGAUCGAUUGUCACUCAGAGCCAAGGGAGUCGACGAGCAUAUGGACGUAUUUGGGCACUGUCUUAGAAUCGCACUCGCUGCUGAUGGCUCUCACAUUUGGGAGUCCAUCCAUGUAGCAGUUCAUCAUCAUUAAUUUGAGUUGAGAGAUUGAAAUUGCUUCAAGACUUGAGAGAUGCGCAUUGCUGUGGUUCGGCCGCUGCUCAGCAAAGAAUCACAUCAGAUACUCACACGAGAAGCAUACCAUGGCCGUAACCUCACAUAAACUACACGCGUGCUCUGGGUUGACUAAGGCAUGCUGUGGAAAUGGCCGAGAGGACACUAAUGGGGUUCUAUUUUCAUACACACACAUGCACUUUGCGCAUCUU